AAGCCUGCUCCUCCGAAGCCAGAGCCUAAACCUAAAAAGGCAGCUCCAAAGAAGAGCGAGAAGUUGCCCAAGGGAAAGAAGGGGAAAGCUGAUGCUGGCAAGGAGGGAAACAACCCUGCAGAAAACGGAGAUGCCAAAACAGACCAGGCACAGAAAGCCGAAGGUGCUGGUGAAGCCAAGUAAAACGUGUGAAUUUUUGAUAACUGUGUACUUCUGGUGACUGUACAGUUUGAAAUACUAUUUUUUAUCAAGUUUUAUAACAAUGCAGAAUUUUUGGUUUACUUUUUUUUAAGCUAUGUUGUUAGCACACAGACCGCUUCGUUGUUGUGUUUUGAGAGGGAGGGGGGAGGCGGGGGGGGAGGGACAGUGGGGACAAAUGUCACUUAGGCUAUUUCUCAGAACCUAAAUUUUAAUCAGAACGGUUUUCCCAGUCCCCUGGUUUUUGGAAAAAAGGGCUCUUCCUGAGUUAGUGGAGGAAGGGAUUCCUUUACCUGUGCCUCUGUUGAGUUCUGUGAAGUGCAUCCCAGUGAACAUCAGAGCUCCCAAGAUGCCUGUUGCUGACUUGAAAACCACAGUUUGUAAUGCCCUUUCUAUUUCCUUUAGAGCCUGUCACUCCAAAAUACAGCAAAAAAAAAAAAAAAAAAAAUACAUUUUGGGAAGCUUUUCUUGGUAGUGAAACUAGAAGUAACUCCAUAAAACUGAUUAG
rnacentral:lncRNA from 1 species